rnacentral:lncRNA from 1 species
AAAACAAUUCCAAGGUUGCGAAAGGGAAAAUGGCGGACGGAAGUGGAGGAAAUUCGGAGCAGAUCGGAGCAACACCGACCGGAUCGGCGGUGGCCAUGGCUGUCGACCGACUGGCAGCCUCUGGACCGUGGGGCGCGAGGGAGAUAUCGGCGGCUGGAAAUCAGUCGCCGCUGACCGUGGGGGCGGCGGCACCGGCCGUGGACCGACCGGCGGUGGCGGCAGCGGUUGUGGAUCGUCCGGCAGCGGCUGCAGGACCAAGGAAGGGAGGAGGCGCAGCCUUGUUUGAUGGAGGCGCAGAAUUAGGUAUAGGGUUCACACCAAACCCCCUAACUUCUUCAUAUUCUUAUAAAAGACCCCAUGUUUUGCCCUUAGGUCCCUCGAAUUUUCGAAAUUUGAAAAUACCACCCCUGAACUAUUCUGAAUUUCAGAAAGAACCCCAUCUUAUGAAAACUAACUCCCUAGUUUUUCAUAAAUUAAAAAAACACCCCAAACCUUUGUGUGAUACCUCAAAAUAUCAGCCUUUUAUGUAGAAAAUCCCUAAAAUCUUCCGCUACAUAUCAAAACUCAUCUGAUAAUAGGGAUAGGGAUAAAAGGUGGAUUUUUAUUGUGGAGCCACUGAUACGAUGACUUUUGAUAAAACUGAUAUCAUUAAGCCAUCAGCACCAUACCGAACACAUGUUCAAACUGCAAAUGGUGACUUAACCCGUGUUGAAGGGGCUGGAACCAUAGAAAUCUCUCCUACUAUGCACCUCUCAAACUGUCUUUAUGUCCCUUCUCUAUCUCAUAAACUCUUGUCUAUUAGCCAUGUUACAGAAGAACUAAAUUGUACCAUGCUAAUGAAUCCUCAAUUCUGUCUUCUUCAGGAUAUCAGGACGGGGGAGAUUAUUGGACGUGGCACUGAGCGAGAUGGGUUAUACUAUGUGGAUGAGAUAGCUCAACAAGGCGAGGUGAUGCUCGCUCACGGAACUGCUAACCGGGAAGCUUGGCUUUGGCAUCGUCGGUUAGGGCAUCCUUCCACAAGUUAUCUUAAGAUAUUAUUUCCUGAAUUAAUAAAAGGGGGAACUCUGUCUUGUGAAACUUGUAUUUUGGCUAAAAGCUACAGACACUCUUUUAAACCUAAUAAUACUGUAGUUGAGUCUAUUUUCUCUUUAAUUCAUUCUGAUGUUUGGGGACCUUCACCUAUUGCCGGGGGUUCAGGUUUUAAAUAUUUUUUGCUUUUCAUUGAUGAUUGCACAAGGAUGACAUGGGUUUAUUUCCUCAAACACAAAUCUGAAGUUUUUGAAAAGUUUACCCAUUUUUCCACCAUGAUUCAAACUCAAUUUGAGAAAAACAUUCAGACUCUUAGAACCGAUAAUGGGGGGGAAUUUGUCAAUAGAUCCAUGCAGGAAUUUUGUCAACAAAAGGGGAUAAUCCAUCAAACUACCUGUCCCCAUACCCCUGAACAAAAUGGUGUGGCAGAAAGAAAAAAUAGAAUUCUCCUUGAAAUGACCCGAGCUAUGAUGAUUGAAUCUAAAGUACCCACACACUUCUGGCCUGAAGCUGUUGCUACCUCUGUCUAUCUUAUAAACCGUCUUCCCACUAGAACUCUCCAGUUACAAACUCCUUUAGAAAAACUCUCCACCUUGGCAUCUGUCCCUCUUGCUCUUACUCUCCAACCUAGGGUUUUUGGGUGCUCCGUUUUUGUCCAUAUCCCCAAACAUGAAAGAACUAAACUUUCCCCUUGUGCCAUUAAAUGUGUCUUUGUAGGUUAUGGUAUUAAUCAGAAAGGGUAUAGGUGUUACAAUCCCAAAACUCGUCAAGUCUUAACCACCACGAAUUGUGAUUUUCUCGAAACUGAGUUCUUUUAUGAAAACCAACUUAACAGUCAGGGGGAGAGAGAGCAAGAAAGUAAAAUAGACUUGUUAAGCUGGUUACCAAUGCCAAGUACGGAAGCAGGACCAACAGAAACAGUUAACCUUGCCACCGAGCAGAUCUCAUGCACUACAGAUCCCAUAUCUCCUCCAUCCCAUGAUUCUAUAUCUCCUCCACCAUUGAUAUCCGAG